rnacentral:rRNA from 1 species
GGGGGGGGGGGGGGGGGGGGGGGGGGGGGGGGGGGGGGGGGGGGGGGGGGGGGGCGGGGGGCGGGGGGGGUGGCGGCGGACGGGUGAGUAACACGUGGGUAGCCUACCUGGAAGGCUGGGGUCGCUUCGGGAAGCCGUCGCUAAUACCGGCUGAUAUUGGGCACCGCGUGGUUCAACAGUGAAAGACGGUCUUGCUGUCACUUAUCGAUGGAUCCGCGCUGCAUUAGCUAGUUGGUAAGGUAACGGCUUACCAAGGCAACGAUGCAUAGCCGACCUGAGAGGGUGAUCGGCCACCCUGGAACUGAGACACGGUCCAGACUCCUACGGGAGGCAGCAGUAGGGAAUCUUCCGCAAUGGGCGAAAGCCUGACGGAGCAACGCCGCGUGAGUGAUGAAGGACUUCGGAUCGUAAAACUCUGUUAUUAGGGAAGAACAUAUGUGUAAGUAACUGUGCACAUCUUGACGGUACCUAAUCAGAAAGCCACGGCUAACUACGUG